GUGCUGGCUCCUAAUCUCACCAAGCACAGAGGUCUGUUACCCAGUCCAUCAUAGGGUCAUUCAUUCCUCACCCUUCCCCGUCCUCUCCCCAGGUGCCAUGCAUCCCAGAGACAGCAGGGCUUGAGUGGGCUACCUGGGCAACCCUCCCCUGCCUGGCCCGGCCUCCCACCUCCUCCACGGGUGUGUGUGUGUGUGUGUGUGUGUGUCUUAAAUCAUGGCCUGGCAGCUAAUUCUUUGCAGCUUGCGGGUUGCUGCCUCCAUGAGCAGACAGGAGGGCGCCCUGACACAGUUAAAGAUCACAAGCUUUGAUAACUGGGCCUUCUGAUUUACGGUAAUCCAGGUCUCCACGUUCCCCUAAUGAGGGGAACUCGGAGUGUCAACCCGUUUAUUAAAUGCUCAGAACCAUGUGUGAGCCGGACCGAGGGUCCCUGGACACUGGGUUCCAGCUGCUUACUCGGAGAAGACUUUGUAUGGAGUCUGGCAAAUCUUUCCAGCUGAGCAGGGAGGAAAAUAUUUCAGCACAGACAUUUGUGACCCUUCAUGAAGCUCCAGAGUUGGAAGCCAGACCGGGACCUAUAGUCCUUGCUCCCACACAUUAGGCCCAGGGCCCGGGUUGGCAGCCCCUGCUGACUUUUUCCUGCUGUUUGGAAAAACACCCCUCCGGUCACCACCUUCCAACUCACAUUGCCCACAACGUGGAUGCCAGGAGGGAACAGGAAGUGGCUUGAGAAAAUAAACCCAGCUCACUGGGCCUGUGGAUGGCACCCUCUCCACGCCAGAAAGCGGCAAGCUGGCUUGGAGAAAUAUAUCCUGGCGGGCCCCAUUUUCUCCAGAGUCCAAUGGGGCAAACAACAGUCCCAGCUGGAUUCAACGAAGAGCUUAGAAGAUUCAUUUGAAGCAGCCCACAGGGAAGGGUGUCGCUGA
rnacentral:lncRNA from 1 species